rnacentral:rRNA from 1 species
GACGAACCGUGCAAACGUUGUUCGGAUUCACUGGGCUUAAAGGGCGCGUAGGCGGACGGUCAAGUCGGGGGUGAAAUCCUGGAGCUCAACUCCAGAACUGCCUUUGAUACUGGCAAUCUUGAGUCCGGAAGAGGUGAGUGGAACUCCUAGUGUAGAGGUGGAAUUCGUAGAUAUUAGGAAGAACACCAGUGGCGAAGGCGGCUCACUGGUCCGGUACUGACGCUGAGGUGCGAAAGCGUGGGGAGCAAACAGGG